UGGUGCAGACGGUAGGACGCUUGGUUCGCAUGCGCGAGGUCAUCGGUUCGAGUCCCGGCUUU
rnacentral:tRNA from 14 species